CACUAUCGUUAACUGAAUACAUAGGUUAACGAGGCGAACCGGGGGAACUGAAACAUCUAAGUACCCCGAGGAAAAGAAAUCAACCGAGAUUCCCCCAGUAGCGGCGAGCGAACGGGGAGCAGCCCAGAGUCUGAAUCAGCUUGUGUGUUAGUGGAACGGUCUGGAAAGUCCGACGGUACAGGGUGAUAGUCCCGUACACCAAAAUGCACAGGCUGUGAACUCGAAGAGUAGGGCGGGACACGUGGUAUCCUGUCUGAAUAUGGGGGGACCAUCCUCCAAGGCUAAAUACUCCUGACUGACCGAUAGUGAACCAGUACCGUGAGGGAAAGGCGAAAAGAACCCCGGCGAGGGGAGUGAAAAAGAACCUGAAACCGUGUACGUACAAGCAGUGGGAGCACCUUCGGGUGUGACUGCGUACCUUUUGUAUAAUGGGUCAGCGACUUAUAUUCUGUAGCAAGGUUAACCGUAUAGGGGAGCCGCAGGGAAACCGAGUCUUAACUGGGCGUUAAGUUGCAGGGUAUAGACCCGAAACCCGGUGAUCUAGCCAUGGGCAGGUUGAAGGUUGGGUAACACUAACUGGAGGACCGAACCGACUAAUGUUGAAAAAUUAGCGGAUGACUUGUGGCUGGGGGUGAAAGGCCAAUCAAACCGGGAGAUAGCUGGUUCUCCCCGAAAGCUAUUUAGGUAGCGCCUCGUGAACUCAUCUUCGGGGGUAGAGCACUGUUUCGGCUAGGGGGUCAUCCCGACUUACCAACCCGAUGCAAACUACGAAUACCGAAGAAUGUUAUCACGGGAGACACACGGCGGGUGCUAACGUCCGUCGUGAAGAGGGAAACAACCCAGACCGCCAGCUAAGGUCCCAAAGUCAUGGUUAAGUGGGAAACGAUGUGGGAAGGCACAGACAGCCAGGAUGUUGGCUUAGAAGCAGCCAUCAUUUAAAGAAAGCGUAAUAGCUCACUGGUCGAGUCGGCCUGCGCGGAAGAUGUAACGGGGCUAAACCAUGCACCGAAGCUGCGGCAGCGACACUAUGUGUUGUUGGGUAGGGGAGCGUUCUGUAAGCCUGCGAAGGU
rnacentral:rRNA from 1 species